AAUAGAGUUUUCUUUUAAAGAAAAGAAUAAAUGCAAUUAAAACUGAUUAUUUCCUUCAUUUUUGUAGGGGUUGAAUCCUUUUUUUAAUGGCAGAUUUAAACAGAGAAGAGUUCUGGGACAAGAGGCCUUUGUCUCGACUCAAAAGAAAUACAUCUGUCUGCAGCCUUAUGAAGAGGCCACUAGGAAAAGAGAAAAAUUUCAAUACCUGAAGUGCACAGGGCAGGAUAAAUCUAGCACUAAUUUGGUGUUACAUUUAUACCAUACAUACAAGCCACAUCAUAAUGCUUAUUUACAUGAUCAACAUGCAAGAUCACACUGAUACUGGGUUAUGCUCUUCCAGACACAUGUAUAAUUAUCCCAUAAGAGAUAUCCACGCUACAGUCAGUGUUGUGACUGCAGCCCAGACAUACCUGAGCAACCUGUAAUCCACAUAGUUUAGAAAACAAGGCAGUGAAGGUGCAGCACCAUGAGCUUCAGUUCAAUCCCAUCCAGACUCUGAGGUACUUACUCAGAAGCCUGUACCACUGUCUUCCCUGAACUGCUAGCUGAGCUAGCCUACCAGUCCCACGAUCUGGACAUAUUCUUAGCUCAUACAGAAGAAGGUGCAAGGGUCAGCUUGGGAGUGCCUGAAGUGCUCAAUCCUUUCUCCAUUAAUCUCCUAUUGUGUUAGAACAGUCAGGAGAGCCUGAUCUUGAAUAAUCCAAUCCUCAUCCAUCUGUGUAUUUACUGCAGGGACCUACUUUGUAUGUGCAAAUCAGGGAUUUGCUCACACACAAGAGACUCCUCUCCUGCUAAGGGUGCACUGUCCCUUUUCAGCUUAGGCAGACGAUUGCCUUAGUUCACUGAGGAUUGGUGAUUUUAUAUUAGUGGGAGUAGCUAAUCAAUUGCUGAAUAUUUAUACAAUUUUCUAUUUCCCUAACAAACCAUAGCAGCAUGCAGCAUACUAUUUCUUCCUUCUUGGCUGGCCUAUGCAUAGCUUCCUCAAGGUGCUAAGCCUCUAACAAGCAUCUCUAUCAAACUGACAACUGGUGGUGACAUUUUCUAGAUGCUUCUGCUAUAGAAUAUCAAAUAGUUGGCAGCUCUGACCUAGAUGGUGAAAAAUGGAAACACACUGAGGGCUAAAGGCCAGCUCUGCUGUAAGCAGGUGAAACAGAAUUGACUUUAACUGUGCUCUGUCCCCUUUUGCCAGUGAUGAGUUUGUUAUUAAAGUUAAGAUGAUAAGAAUACUUGCUUUCUGCACAUGUGUUUUUCUGCUCAAUUUUUCCUCCCAUCAAUUUUGCAUGUGUGUGAAUUUACUGAGUAGGUGAGGUACUGGAAUAGCAGCUGUGAAGAAGGCCCUGAGUGAAAUUCUCUGUUGUGCCUCCAAGGCUUUAUUUUUGCUGCAAGAAAAAAUGUAUUUAAGCAAGAAUACAUUUUUUUUUGCACCUGAAAGCAAAGCCACGGAGGCUUCUCAUCCCAACACCCUGCUCUGACAAAACUUCAGAGGAAGCCCUUGGAAAGCAACCUGCAACUCUUUUCUUUCCUUGCUUCACUAGGGAAUCCUGCCUCUCUCUACUGCUCUAACCCUUUUAUCCAGCUUACAGGGACUGAAGCAGAGCUGAGGAUUUCACCUCUGGAGACAGCCUGUUUCUUUCUAUGCCUCCCUGCCAAUGUGCUUUCACCAUGAUGAACAGAGAGCAUGCUGAGGCGUAAGAGAAGGCUGUGUAAUUGCUGGGGUCACUUUGGUUCUUGGCCUUUCCCCUGAUGCAGCUAACUCCUCAGGGUCACAGCCAUUCUCAAGAUCCCUGGUGGUGGUAUGACACUCCCCUACCCACACCUCUAUCUGAUGCAAGUGAAAAACAAAUAUUUUUAAAGCCCUUAAACCCUGUGCCCACAGGGCUCUUGACCAGAGACUCCCAGCACAGCUCAUUGUAUAAGGAAGGUAUAGUGUGACAGGGGCUCCAGAUCCCCUAGGGCAGAUGUUGCUCGGGGCAAGGUAGUACAUGAGACAAUGCCUCGCUCACUUAGGAGGUAAGCACGGAGUCACUUCGGAAAGCCUCACCCUGGGAACUGAAACCCAAAUGCAGCUUGGCCCAUUUUUCUUCCUUUUUCCAGCUAUGUCAGGAGUACCAUGAAUUAGUUCCCAUGAUCUGUUAUAGAUAGGGAAACUAUCAGUAACGGAGGAGUGGAAAAGGGACAAUUUGUGGAAGGAAAACAUUAUUACUGCUACAUAGGUGUAUCUGUGCCCUUCUAUGUGGCAUGUCUUUACAGUAAGCAGGGGAAGACCUGCAACAAUUAAGUGUAUUAGUUUAACUUAAUCGCUUUAGCUGCUGUAUACAUUGCAAAGACGCAUCAAAAGGGCUGCUGUUUUGCCUAUAAUACAAAGGUACAAGGAAUGCUGAUUUAACUAAGAUGUCAUAAGCAGGAAAAGCCUUCUGAGAAAUGUUAAAGAGCAAUGAAUGGCAGGUCAAAGACCCGGACUUCUAAUUUGCUCCCCAGUCUGUGAUCACUAAAGAGAUUAUUUAUAAUAAUAUUCACUGGGGUUAAAGCUGUUUUCAAGAUUCUUGACUGUGGCGCACAGUGCAUCCUCAACCAUUCUGUAUUAAAGGAGCACUGCCUUCAUUUUUUCUGAAGAUUUUAAACAGUAUUUAAGGAACAAUUGUCCAAAGAAUCUUAGCAUCACUUAUCAGAGGAGAUAAAAUAAGUGUCAUGGCUCAUAAGGCAUCACAGCUUAAAACAAAAGUAUGUAAGCUAAUAUUGUAUGUUAAGUAGUUUUUGUCAGAGGAAUUCAAAAAAUUUAAAAAUUGCUUCAAAAUCUAUUUCCUCUGGCAUUAUUUUUAACUGAAAAAGCAUUAGUGAGGAUGUUGGGUGGUGCUGCGGGAUUUACAUAUACCCAUAAUAGUGCAAUGCCUGCAACUAUGGUAGGGCACUGAGGGCCAGAAAGUGAAACGAACUGAGCAGAUCAGACCAGUAUCACUAUCUAAUCUUUUCAAAGACACUGCCUGGCUUAGAUAGGAGAGACAGAGCUGCCUAUGGGAUAAGAUCUGGGAGUACUGUUCUUAUGGGUAGCAUAAUACAUAACAAGGCAACUUAUACAUCUUUAUUUUGGCAGAGCUUGAAUCCUUAGGCUACUUAACUGAUGCACGUAUCAAACGCAUAAGAUCUUUCCUCCCAAGAAAUAUUCUACUCUAGGGCCUUUACAUUUCUCUGGAAGAACAGCAGUAUUGUGUGCAAGGGCUGUGCUGAUAACAAACAGACAAGGAAUGCUAAAUUGAUCAUCUUCAUUCCAUGUGUCUGCAGUGGAUGCACUCGGUCCUUUGAAUGAUCAAAUGUACUAAAUAGAGUACAUUUACUCUAUUUACUGUCUCUCAACUACAAACAGCCUUUGCUGGUCUCUAGUAGCCAAUGAGUCAAACAAUCACUAUACUGCGCAGAUAUAGUUAAAAGACUAUUCUGUUCUGAUAAUCUAAAAGCAGGAGACAAAAGAGGAGUCAGGUGCCAUCUGUACACACUUAAAAUACCAGGAUACAAUCCUAGGUGAAUGUCACAGCAGUAGGCUGCCAUUAUAGGCACUGAUCUUACAGACCUUUACAGGGACGGGACUUCUAAUUACUUUUUUUUUGUGCUUCUCUUGCUCUGAAAGCUGAUCACAAUUAGUUCAGUGGGAUUCUGUUCCUUAAGGACUGCAGGAUUGGGCUUUAAGGGUAAAACUUGCUGGCUCAUUAGGGACAAACAGGGGUGGUGCCAGCCUCUUCCCAGUGAGGGGGCUGAGGUGGGAUAGUCAGAAAACUGUGGGGGCUGCGAUACAUCUGGCCAAUGGUCAAACAUUCCAUUUUUUAACAAUACCCGCUUAAGGCGCCGUGCCUCUGCAGGUGGGAGCAUGGCAAAUUCAAAUGCACAGAGCAGGUGGUGAACUGGGAAGGAGGCAGGGGACUUGGACAGGGGUGGUAUUGGGAGGGGUGGCUACGGGGGUGGGGAAAAGGUGAAUUUUGGGGUGGCUAUAGCCCCCCCAAAACUCCCCUAGCACCACCCAUGCGGACAAAAAUGGGAACUCUGGACUGGAUUUUCAGGUAAGGAACUUAGGCCUUCUGCCAUUUGGGACACUUUGACUUCCAACUGCCUGACCUGUGCGAUCUGACAUGCACCUGAUUACAUCCACAAGGUUUUGUGCACACAAACUUUGGACACAGAAGAGAGAACAGCUUGAAAAUAGAGCGAGCCUUUUAAAAUCUUCCUUCUCCUUCUACAAGAUGAGAUUUCUGUUCAUCUGAAAGUCUGUUAUGACCAUAUAGUGUGUGGCACUACUGACCCAGGAACAGCAAAAGGACAGUUAAUAAGGUAUUUUUCAAGAUCUUGUUUUGGUGACCAACUAGAGCACUAUCACUUAGUAUUUCUAUAAAAAUCAGAAAACUCCUAUCCUGCCCUUCUGAACAACUUCUGAAACAUACAGGAAAGCAGUUUAUGAUGAAGCUCAAGAAUUCAUUUUACUUAAUCUAGAAUCUAAAAUAACAAUGCUAAAGUUUUGUAAGACUGGGUUAGAAGAGGCAUGUAGGACGGCUAAAGGCAACUGCAAUUGAAAGGAAACUGAAGGACAAAUCCUUCCUCAGUCAAAACUGCUAAAAUCAAUAGGAAUUCCAUGUGAGUGAGGACUGAAGGGACUGGACUGAGAGAGUAUUUUAUUCCCCAUAAAUCACAAGCCAUUUCACUAUGUAAACAAAGAACAAAUAUUUAAAAAAGAGCAAGAGACUAGAUCAGCCACAUUUAACCCCUCCUGGGAGUCACCACUCAGAUAGGGGCAGAGUCCUGGCUUUUUCUGUGUCAAUCAUGCUGACUAAACCAUGAACCAGGACAUAAAGUCCCCAAAGCCCUGUGGAAAGGUAAACUGCUGUGAGGUAAGAGCAGGCAAUUGUCUCCAGAGCAAUCAAUGACAACAGCUGACCUUCAGCUGCUGCACUCUAGGAACACUUUGUCCUCUUCUCUGGGGUUUGGGAAAAAUUCCCAGAUUUAAAGCCAAAGCCUGCUUGGCUUGCUGAAAUCAAUGGAACAGGUCCAGGGAGCAAGAUCAGCGGUGUUUGGCCUUACUUAGGUUUGGAUCAGAGCCUUUGUAUUCUGUGAUUUCACUCCUUGCCCUGGAGUCCAGGCCUUGCUGAUGAGUCUUAGCUUUCUUAAACCGAGUUUUCUUAGCUUUCUUAAACUGACUUUACUUCUGUUUCUAAUUUCCAUGCUUGUGGAGGUGUCCUGAAAACUGAAAAUGGAUGCCUUAACUAUAGCACUAGUGUAGUCCAUUUGUACAGACCUUCUACUGUGGUUUCAAAGUCUCUCUUAGGGACAGAAAUUACACAUAAACCAGUAUAAGUGAUUGGAAACCAGUUCUAACUUGUAACACAGCAGAAGUUCAGUGCAUAUAAACUGCUUUCAAAAUGUGCUAAACUAGUUUAAGAUAAACCUGGAUUAAUGUAGUACCAAACUUAGCUGGUUUAGGUUAAAUUGGUUUAACCUUGAACUUCUGUCUUGGAUCCCCUCCACAUUCAGGUUAACUCACAGUCCCCCAGCAUCCUAGGAUGCUUUGUACUUCCCUGCAAUCCCAUCCCCCUUAUACUUGCAGAGUGGGCAGGUUAGCUUUGGCCCAAGAGGUCUGCUCCAGCUGAGGCAGGUGUGCUCUAGCACUUCCCAGCUUUUGGCUUGGGCCACUGCAGGCAUGUGGCUGCAUUUCCAGAAUCAAAAAUGAAUGUCUACUCCUUUGCUUAUUGGUUCAGUCUACACAGCUUAGACUUACAACCUGCAAAGACUGAAUCAAUUCAGUCUCGGGUUUUUUGACUGUCUGUACUUAGCCGUAUUGAUUCAGCUUCAGCCAGUAAAUAAAGUUGACAUCAGGUCUGCACCUGUUCAGGUGGUGCAAGUCCAUGACUGGAAGUUUGUGGGCUCCAACCCUGCCUGUUCAGUUUGAUGUACUUCCAUUGAUUCCAACUGGGCUUCUUUUACUACGUGAUGUUAAGCACAUGCUUACAUCUUGAUAGGAUCAGGGCUUUGUGUUGUGUUGAGUGGCACAUUGUAGUUUGUCUCCUUGGUUAGGAACGGUGUUAAACUAAGCCAGUAUAACCCUAGCUUAACACCCCCCUCUCCCCCAAGUCAUUUGCACCAGUUUAACCAGCCUUUUGCUGGUCAAACAGUUUAAAGUCACAUAUUAAGUAGCAGUGCAACUCUGCACGUAGACAAACCCAAAGUGAAUAUAAGUGUCUCCCAAGUCAUUUAAGAUUGUCCACGCAGGGGAGGGCACUGAUAUAACAGCUUUGGUGUCACCUCUUCUAACCUCUGGGGGAAAUUCCAGAGGUAAAUAAAAUACACUCUGCUUUCCUAAGUACCCCAUGUAUUUCACCUGGAUACAAUAUGCUUCAAUUCCUUCCCCAGAACUCUUGUGCGGUGUGGCUGCACGCUGAUAAACAGCUCUCUCAGCGGGGGCUGCAUUUUACUGGCAGAUCAAGUGAGCUGUGUAGAGCACUGUGCUUCUACUGAGAUCCUAGCUUAUUACUCAAAGCCGUAGCUCCUUGGAUGAAAGGUGUUUGGGAAGAGUGGUACUAUCAUUAGUUGUGGUAGUUGUCAUUCUCAAGUCCAGCAGAGGCUUUAGAGGACUUGAGAAAGCAAGAAAGGGAGAAAGCAAACUCCAGCCUUUCAAAAGCAUGGCUUAAUGACCAAACGGACAGUCUGUGUUCAGGUUUUUCUCCCUUUCCUAGCACUGGGGGUCUGAAAGAAAUGCCUCAGGGUGUUGUCUGGCUGGAGAAAAGCCAGUCAGAGCUUUUCCUCAAGCAAUGUUUUCCCUCAUAUUUUCAUCAAGCAGUAUUGGCCAAGAAGCACGUCUUAAGUGGUUCAUGUGCUCCAAGGAGGGUUGGGACUGGGCUCUCCAAAGCAGUAGGGCUCAUCCAGACUGCUCGAUGAUUACCUCAGAGACUAAACCAUGUUAAUAAUCAAAAAUACAUUUAUGUUACCAGGAACUGAAAGAACUGGAAAAAAAAAAUCACUAGGAAAAAUGGACCCUGUAAAGACCCACUGGGGAAUACUUUGCUUCUAAUCAGGCUGGGCAUGACCUGAGGGACCACUGCAGGCCUGACAUGCAAGCCUAAUGCUAACACUGAAGUGCUGUGGUACAAGGGGAUAAGAAUCCAACCGGAGGUGUUGGACAUACUUAUUAUCUGAUCUAGUCCCAUCACGCUGUAAACACACACAUGAGGAAGAGGAGAAACGCAGCACCGAUAGGAGCAUUGUCCUUUUCAUGAAAUACUAGGACAAAUGAGCUACUUAGUGCAUCUUCAGUGACAUCAAGUGACAACCCUAGAGCUGAAUUUGGCUUUCAUGCAGAAAUCCUUUCUGCCUGUCCAACUGAGUGUGGAAAAUGUCAGAGUCCAUCUGAAAAAAAAAAAUCCCUCUCCAGCUAGAAGCAGAACUGCACAAAUCAAUUAAAUGUUAUUGGGCUAAAUGAUACAAAUAAGUAUGCAUGAACUGAAUUAGCAAUACAGUUGGUGCUAUGGCUCCCUAACUCCAAUAUAAACAAAGUAUUGUAGGUUAUUACUUAGUAACAAUGAAUUCACAAACAGUACACAAGAAUAAAGUAUAUGUGUAGCGCAUAUGACUUAAAAAUGGUAGUCUUGCUCUGUGUGAUUCUGCCUCUCUGCUCAUUCAAAUUGCUUAAUUUUUUUAAGUUUCCCAGACAUGAGCACAAGCAGUUAAAGACACAGACCUGGAUAAGAAAAUCUUGAAGCAUGCAUGCAUUUAGAUGUCAUGUGAAACACAUGACCUGAGAGGGUUUGGUUUUUCUUUUUAUACCCUGGCCUGAAACUCUAUUAACUUUCAGAUUUCCUUUUGGCAAGAAAACAAAUCCUGUGAAGCAGCAGAGAUGCUCUUGUGCAAGUACAUGCAGAGGCUGGCUUGGAAGCUCUGCGACACACGGCCACGGUCUCUCUGCAGCAGUUACAUGAGUGUGUACGCAAUGAAAGGGCACACCGCAGCUCUGGAGUCAGCUCUUCUUUUGUGCAACUCUCCUAGUACCUAAGGUUGUACAGUAUCACAUCAGAGAAGGCUGUUGGUUCUCAAGUGUGGAGAUCUGAUGGAAUAUACAACUACAUGAAGUGGAGAAAGGAUGCAGUUUACUGAAAAAAAAACCAAAACCUGACAGCCCUAGGAGGGAAUUAUAUCAUUUGAGUAAGUCGCAACAAAUAAAAAUCUCAAGCUAAA